UGUCUACUUUUAAAACAGAUACUCUGACAA
rnacentral:piRNA from 1 species